rnacentral:rRNA from 1 species
AUUGAACGCUGGCGGCAUGCCUAACACAUGCAAGUCGAGCGGAUGAAGGGAGCUUGCGCCUGGAUUCAGCUGCCGACGGGCGAGUAAUGCCUAGGAAGCUGCCUUGUCUUGGGGGAUAACGUCCGAACACGGACGCUAAUCUCGCACACGACCAUAUUGUGAAAGUGGUGGAUCUAAGGACCUCAACGUACUAGCUGACACUUAGUCGUAUUAGCUAGUUGCUUAGGUAGCGGCCUACCAAGGCGACGAUCCGUAACUGCUCUGAGAGGAUGAUCAGUCACACUGGAACUGAGACACGGUCCAGACUCCUACGGGAGGCAGCAGUAGGGAAUCUUGGGCAAUGGGCGAAAGCCUGAUGCAGCCACGCCGCGUGUGUGAAGAAGGUCUUCGGAUUGUAAAGCUCUUUAAGUUGGGAAGAAGAGAAGUAUAUUGAUAUCUGGAUGUCUUGACGGUACCAACACAGAAAGCCACGGCUAACUUCGUG